rnacentral:rRNA from 1 species
UCGAGAAUUUUUGACAAUGGGGGCAACCCUGAUCGAGCGACGCCGCGUGGAGGAUGAAGGUCUUCGGGUUGUAAACUCCUGUCAUUUGGGAACAAGCUGCUCACGUUAACUGCGUGGGCAUUGAUAGUACCAGAAGAGGAAGGGACGGCUAACUCUGUGCCAGCAGCCGCGGUAAUACAGAGGUCCCAAGCGUUGUUCGGAUUCAUUGGGCGUAAAGGGUGUGUAGGUGGCGCCGUAAGUCGGGUGUGAAAUUUCGAGGCUUAACCUCGAAACUGCAUUCGAUACUGCGGUGCUUGAGGACUGGAGAGGAGACUGGAAUUCAUGGUGUAGCAGUGAAAUGCGUAGAGAUCAUGAGGAAGACCAGUGGCGAAGGCGGGUCUCUGGACAGUUCCUGACACUGAGACACGAAGGCCAGGGGAGCAAACGG